rnacentral:pre_miRNA from 1 species
GAUCCUGAUUAUCUUAACACAAUUAUUUAUUAUUUAUAUAUAAUUGUGUCAGGAUAACAAUGCC